CCUAAGAUCCAGUUUGGAUCUUAGAGUUUGGUAUUAGAGUAGGACAAACUGUGGUGAGAAGACUUUCAUUCUCUGAAUGAAAGCUGGAAGACUGUGUUCCUUGAUUUAUCAUUAUGGUGCUGCUUUGUCUCCCUUAUCAAUUGCUCAGAAUUCAGUGGAUAAAACUGUAUAUAAUGUUUGCUGCCUGGAUUGACUAAUACCUUGGCUGAACCAAAGCUGGGCUUUCUGAUUCAAAGGGAGCUAAAUCCCACUUUUGGGCUGAUGUUUUGGAGAGCACAAAGCAGAUGCUGCACAUGCCAUGGUAAGAACAUGGUCACAGGAACAGAAACCCAGUGCUGAUGAAAGGGAACCACAUCUGCUGGGAGCCAAAUGGGACCUGACCAAACCUCAUCUUAGACUCAUCUUCCCCUUGCUUGUGAGCACAGUGCAACUGUGCUAUUGAAUAGAUUUUAUUUCCAGUUGCUUUUCCUAUGGGAAAAACAAAACCACCAAAAAAUGUGUGGGUAUUUGAACAUACAAGUGAGCCACCCUCUCAGGGUGUUUACCCAAUCUUUUAAAAUUUCACUUCCUCUGACAUUUUUAUUUAUCUUGGCACGUAAAUACUAAGCCAAGCUGUUUUCCCUUUCCUGAGCUCAGUGUUUUUAAAGGAAGCUGAUGUUCAGCCUUGCUAAAGAAUUUCAGAGCCCUUGAGAAGAGGACCGUGGAUAAGAAGAACAAUGCACAUCUUGCAGGAAUGUCCUCCCAAAUUUUCUGCUGCUCACAACAAACUGAAAAAAUCUCAACUCAGAAGGACCAUGUGAUGCCAAUGCUGCAGGUCUUGUAUGAUUCAGGAUAAUAUGAUUACAGAAAGUUUAAAGGAGACUUGACCUGAAGAUAAAGAUGACCUGGAGUAAUGACAGUCGUGGAGGCUGAAUUGAUGCAGAGGACAUACAUGACUGCAAUGUGCACAGCAGCAUUUCGGGCACCUGCUUCAGUGAAAAUUCAGAAG